UACGUAGGUGGCAAGCGUUGUCCGGAAUUAUUGGGCGUAAAGCGCGCGCAGGUGGUUCUUUAAGUCUGAUGUGAAAGCCCACGGCUCAACCGUGGAGGGUCAUUGGAAACUGGGGAACUUGAGUGCAGAAGAGGAAAGUGGAAUUCCCAGUGUAGAGGUGAAAUUCGUAGAUAUUGGGAAGAACACCGGUGGCGAAGGCGGCUCACUGGCUCGUAACUGACGCUCAGGCGCGACAGCGUGGGGAUCAAACAGG
rnacentral:rRNA from 1 species